rnacentral:rRNA from 1 species
CGCCUUGCCAGCCCGCUCAGAAACUCAAAUGAAUUGACGGGGGCCCGCACAAGCGGUGGAGUAUGUGGUUUAAUUCGAUGCAACGCGAAGAACCUUACCUGGUCUUGACAUCCCGGAGACCCUUAGGAAACUAGGGGGUGCUUCCAUCUGGAAGAAUCUGGAGACAGGUGCUGCAUGGCUGUCGUCAGCUCGUGUCGUGAGAUGUUGGGUUAAGUCCCGCAACGAGCGCAACCCUUGCCUUUAGUUGCCAGCAGUUCGGCUGGGCACUCUAAAGGGACUGCCGGUGUUAAACCGGAGGAAGGUGGGGAUGACGUCAAGUCCUCAUGGCCUUUAUGACCAGGGCUACACACGUACUACAAUGGCCGAUACAAAGGGCAGCGACACUGCGAGGUGAAGCCAAUCCCGUAAAAUCGGUCUCAGUCCGGAUUGGAGUCUGCAACUCGACUCCAUGAAGUUGGAAUCGCUAGUAAUCGUGGAUCAGCCAAGCCGCGGUGAAUACGUUCCCGGGCCUU